AUACGGAGGGUGCGAGCGUUGUUCGGAAUUAUUGGGCGUAAAGAGCAUGUAGGCGGUCUGUUAAGUCUGGUGUGAAAGCCCGGGGCUCAACCCCGGAAGUGCAUUGGAUACUGGCAGACUUGAGUAUGGGAGAGGAAAGCGGAAUUCCGAGUGUAGGAGUGAAAUCCGUAGAUAUUCGGAGGAACACCAGUGGCGAAGGCGGCUUUCUGGACCAAUACUGACGCUGAGAUGCGAAAGCGUGGUGAGCAAACAGGAUUAGAAACCCUAGUAGUCC
rnacentral:rRNA from 1 species